AGGUAGGGUGGCCGAGUAGGCGGCGAGUUGUAGCCUCGUGCACGGGUCAAAGUGCCCCCCUGUCAA
rnacentral:tRNA from 1 species